GUGCCAGCAGCCGCGGUGACACGUAGGCACCAAGCGUUGUCCGGAUUUAUUGGGCGUAAAGAGCUCGUAGGCGGUUCGGUAAGUCGGGUGUGAAAACUCUGGGCUCAACCCAGAGCUGUCACCCGAUACUGCUGUGACUUGAGUGCGGUAGGGGAGCGGGGAAUUCCUGGUGUAGCGGUGAAAUGCGCAGAUAUCAGGAGGAACACCAGUGGCGAAGGCGCCGCUCUGGGCCGUAACUGACGCUGAGGAGCGAAAGCGUGGUAGCAAACAGGAUUAGAUACCCUGGUAGUCCACGCCGUAAACGUUGGGCACUAGGUGUGGGUCUCAACC
rnacentral:rRNA from 1 species